rnacentral:misc_RNA from 1 species
UCCCGGUUCACCCGGGCAGUCUCAUUAGAGUUCCCACCAUUACGUGCUGGCAACUAAUGAUAAGGGUUGCGCUCGUUGCGGGACUUAACCCAACACCUCACGGCACGAGCUGACGACAGCCAUGCAGCACCUGUGCAGAAGUCCUUGCGGAACACGACAUUUCUGCCGCUGUCUUCUGCAUGUCAAGCCUAGGUAAGGUUCUUCGCGUUGCAUCGAAUUAAACCACAUGCUCCACUGCUUGUGCGGGUCCCCGUCAAUUCUUUUGAGUUUCACCCUUGCGAGCGUACUCCCCAGGCGGUAUACUUAACGCGUUCGCUACGGCACAGUCGGGGUUGAGUCCGACUACACCUAGUAUACAUAGUUUAGGGCAAGGACUAC